AAUGAACGCUGGCGGCGUGCCUAACACAUGCAAGUCGGAUGUGCCCGCAAGGGUGCAUGGCAGACGGGUGAGUAACGCGUGGGGAAUCUACCUUUUAGUGGGGAAUAACGCUCCGAAAGGAGUGGUAAUACCGCAUGUGACCAUUGGCUGGGAUGCUGAUGGUGAAACCCCUGGGGACCUUCGGGCCAGGGGCGUAGAAGAGGAUCCUGCGUCUGAUUAGCUAGUUGGCGGGGUAACGGCCCACCCAAGGCGACGAUCAUUAGCUGGUCUGAGAGGAUGACCAGCCAGACUGGAACUGAGAACGGUCCAGACUCCUACGGGAGGCAGCAGUAGGGAAUUUUCCACAAUGGGCGAAAGCCUGAUGGAGCAACGCCGCGUGCAGGAUGAAUGUCUUCGGAUUGUAAACUGCUUUUAUAUGUGACGAUAAUGACCGUAGCAUAUGAAUAAGGAUCGGCUAACUCCGUGCCAGCAGCCGCGGU
rnacentral:rRNA from 1 species